rnacentral:rRNA from 1 species
CCUACGGGAGGCAGCAGUCGAGAAUCAUUCACAAUGGGGGAAACCCUGAUGGUGCGACGCCGCGUGGGGGAAUGCAGCUCUUCGGAUUGUAAACCUCUGUCAUGUGGGAGCAAAUUCAAAAGAGUGUACCACAAUAGGUAUAUCCGGAUAACUCUGUGCCACUAGCAGCGUUAAUACAGAGGCAUUAAGCGUGGGUCGGCAUUACUUGGCGUAAAGGGUUCGUAGGCUGGUUCGUAAGUCCUGUGUGAAAGGUGCGGGGUCAACCUGCGGAGGGCAACUGAUACUGGGAGACUAGAGUAAUGGAGAGGGAGCCGGAAUUCGCGGUGUAGCAGUGAAAUGCGUAGAUAUCGAGAAGAACACUGAUGGCGAAGGCGGGUUACUGGACAUUCACUGACGCUGAGGCACGAAGGCCAGGGGAGCGAAAGGGAUUAGAUACCCUGGUAGUC